UGGAUCCUGCCGGACCCCACUGCUAUCGGGAUAGGACUAAGACAUGCUAGUCGUGCGUCUUCUAGCCAUGCUGAAGACGCGACACACAGCUCAGUAACACGUGGCUAACCUACCCUUGAGACGGGAACAUCCCCGGGAAACUGGGGCCAAUUUCCGAUAGGUGAAGAAUCCUGGAAUGGAUCUUUGCCCAAAGGGUGCUAGGGGCAUGCUUCUUAGUAUCGUCCGAGGAUAGGGCCGCAUCUGAUCAGGUUGUUGGUGGGGUAAUGGCUCACCAAGCCUAUAACCAGUACGGGCUGUGAGAGCGGGAGCCCGGAGAUGGGCACUGAGACAAGGGCCCAGGCCCUACGGGGCGCAGCAGGUGCGAAAACUCCACAAUGCACGAAAGUGUGAUGGGGCCAUCCCGAGUGCUGUCCGCUGAGGACAGCUUUUCUAUGCUGUAAGGAGGCGUGGGAAUAAGGAGAGGGCAAGCCUGGUGUCAGCCGCCGCGGUAAUACCAGCUCUCCGAGUGGUAGGGAUGAUUAUUGGGCUUAAAGCGUCCGUAGCCGGCUCUUCAAGUCUUUCGUUAAAGCCAGCGAUUUAAUCGUUGGACUGCGGGAGAUACUGCUGGGCUAGGGGGCGGGAGAAGUCGACGGUAUUUCCGGGGUAGGAGUGAAAUCCUAUAAUCCCGGGAGGACCACCAGUGGCGAAGGCGGUCGACUAGAACGCGCUCGACGGUGAGGGACGAAAGCUGGGGGAGCGAACCGGAUUAGAUACCCGGGUAGUCCCAGCCGUAAACGAUGCGAGCUAGGUGUUAGGGUGGCCACGAGCCACUCUAGUGCCGCAGGGAAACCGUUAAGCUCGCCGCCUGGGGAGUACGGCCGCAAGGCUGAAACUUAAAGGAAUUGGCGGGGGAGCACCACAAGGGGUGAAGCUUGCGGUUUAAUUGGAGUCAACGCCGG
rnacentral:rRNA from 1 species